CGUUAGUCGUCCUAAUCAGGCGUAAAGGGUGUGUAGGCUGCUUUCAAAAUCAUAUCUUUCAAAUAGCUCUUAUAACGAAGAUCUGUUUAAAGGCGAGAUACUUUAAAUAUCUUCAUUAUAAGGUAAAGAUAGGAUGAAUAAAAGCUAGAAUCAAAACGAGGAUAAGCCAAAUAAUACUUAGAGUAGGGUUGAUAUCUGUAGAUACUAAGUGGAAUACUAAAAGUGAAAACUAUUUAUCUAGAAAUGAUUGACGCUGAGAAACGAAGGUGAGAAUAGGAAAUAGGAUUAGAUACCCAGAUACCUCUCACUGUCAACGAUGAAUGGUGGUUUGUUAGUUUAUAGAAGAACUAGUAA
rnacentral:rRNA from 1 species